GACGAACGCUGGCGGCGUGCUUAACACAUGCAAGUCGAACGGAAAGGCCCUGCUUUUGUGGGGUGCUCGAGUGGCGAACGGGUGAGUAACACGUGAGUAACCUGCCCUUGACUUUGGGAUAACUUCAGGAAACUGGGGCUAAUACCGGAUAGGAGCUCCUGCUGCAUGGUGGUGGUUGGAAAGUUUCGGCGGUUGGGGAUGGACUCGCGGCUUAUCAGCUUGUUGGUGGGGUAGUGGCUUACCAAGGCUUUGACGGGUAGCCGGCCUGAGAGGGUGACCGGCCACAUGGGGACUGAGAUACGGCGCAGACUGCUACGGGAGGCAGCAGUGGGGAAUAUUGCAAAAUGGGCGGAAGCCUGAUGCAGCAACGCCGCGUGCGGGAUGACGGCUUUCGGGUUGUAAACCGCUUUCGCCUGUGACGAAGAGUGAGUGACGGUAAUGGGUAAAGAAGCACCGGCUAACUACGUG
rnacentral:rRNA from 1 species